CGCGGAUCAGGAGCUUGCUCCUGUGACGCGAGUGGCGGACGGGUGAGUAACACGUAGGCAACCUGCCCAUCAGACCGGGAUAACCACGGGAAACCGUGGCUAAUACCGGAUAAUCCUUUUCUUCAUAGGAAGGAAAGUUGAAAGGCGGUUUCGGCUGUCACUGAUGGAUGGGCCUGCGGCGCAUUAGCUAGUUGGUGGGGUAAGGGCCCACCAAGGCGACGAUGCGUAGCCGACCUGAGAGGGUGAUCGGCCACACUGGGACUGAGACACGGCCCAAACUCCUACGGGAGGCAGCAGUAGGGAAUCUUCCGCAAUGGACGCAAGUCUGACGGAGCAACGCCGCGUGAGUGAAGAAGGGUUUCGGCUCGUAAAACUCUGUUGUCAGGGAAGAACGUCCCCGUGAGUAACUGCACGGGGAGUGACGGUACCUGACCAGAAAGCCACGGCUAACUACGUGCCAGCAGCCGCGGUAAUACGUAGGUGGCAAGCGUUAUCCGGAAUUAUUGGGCGUAAAGCGCGCGUAGGCGGUCUGUUAAGUCUGAUGUGAAAGCCCCCGGCUCAACCGGGGAGGGUCAUUGGAAACUGGCAGACUUGAGUGCAGAAGAGGAGAGUGGAAUUCCAUGUGUAGCGGUGAAAUGCGCAGAGAUAUGGAGGAACACCAGUGGCGAAGGCGGCUCUCUGGUCUGCAACUGACGCUGAGGUGCGAAAGCGUGGGGAUCAAACAGGAUUAGAUACCCUGGAGUCCACGUAAACGAUGAGUGCUAAGUGUUAGGGGGUUUCCCUUAGUGCUGCAGCUAACGCAUUAGCAUCCUGGGGAGUACCCGCAAGGUGAAACUCAAA
rnacentral:rRNA from 1 species